ensembl:lncRNA
UUUUUUUAAGCGUGACUAAUUGUGUUAUGUAGUUUGUUUGAUUUAUUUGCUGGGCGAGAAGGGAAUACAUGGAAAAGAGACUGCCUUUGGCAACAAGAUGUCAGGGCCAUAUGGAAACGGGAAUUGUGCGUUUUAGAGAAUCAGUCAUUGAAUGUCUAUGGCUGACUGACCAUCUGGAAUUGCAAGUCCUAGACUUUGGCACUUCUGAGCAGUCACUUAGCCAAAGCCAUAAAAUGACUGAUUCCCUAAAAUUAAGAUUUAGUGUUUCCUUAUGGCCAUGGGGAGGCAACUCCGAUACUGGUGGGAUUAAACAUUUUCAGUUUUCAUUCUCUCCUAAUCCCAAACCUUUUCAUGUGGUGCAGAUAGACUAGGUAAUCAUUUAGUUGGAUGGUUUUGGGGUGGAAGCAAUUUAGUAUUGUUACGUGGAGGUAGAAGCUGUAGCAGGUUCAUGUCUAACAGCCUUAUGUAUUGGGUGUAGAAGCUGUACAGGUUCACGUCUAACAGCCUUAUGUAUUGGGUGUAGAAGCUGUACAGGAUCACGUCUAACAGCCUUAUGUAUUGGGUGUAGAAGCUGUACAGGAUCACGUCUAACAGCCUUAUGUAUUGGGUGUAGAAGCUGUACAGGAUCACGUCUAACAGCCUUAUGUAUUGGGUGUAGAAGCUGUACAGGUUCACGUCUAACAGCCUUAUGUAUUGGGUGUAGAAGCUGUACAGGUUCAUGUCUAACAGCCUAAUGUAUUGGGUGUAGAAGCUGUACAGGUUCACGUCUAACAGCCUUAUGUAUUGGGUGUAGAAGCUGUACAGGUUCAUGUCUAACAGCCUUAUGUAUUGGGUGUAGAAGCUGUAAAGGUUCACGUCUAACAGCCUUAUGUAUUGGGUGUAGAUGCUGUACAGGAUCACGUCUAACAGUCUUAUUGUUUGAGGGUAUAAGGAUUACAGGAUCGUGUUUACCAGUCUUAUGUAUUGGGGAUGGAAGCAGUACAGGAUUGUGUUUACCAGUCUUAUGUAUUGGGGAUAGAAGCAGUACAGGAUCGUGUUGAACAGUCUUUUGUCUUGGGGGUAGAAGCUGUGCAGGGUCAUGUUUAACGGUCUUAUAUCUCGAAGGUGGAAGCUGUACAGGGUCAUGUUUAACUGACUUAUAUAAGCAGUAUAAGCUGUUAAGGAUUCCCGUUUGUUCCAGACAUGAUACAGCAGUACUGGUGAUUCUUCAGUAACAGGGAAAACUGCAGGAUUGGUUGGAGUCUGAUGCUGCCUGGUACAGAGUACAUCUGCAUAACCCUCUAUAGCGCCUUGCAUUUUCAUGCCAUGCUUCUACCAUACCAAGACCCCAACUUUGUUACUUGAAAACAGUUGUAUUUCUGUUCAUUUCUAAAAUGAUGUUUACUAUGUUACUUCAGCCCCUGCCCAUCUGCUCAGACAGAAAUCCCACCCACAGCUAAAUCUAGUUGCUCAGACAAAAUGUAAUAAAACCCUUUCUCAUAGCUAGCUAUCUGGCCUGGGUAGUUGUUAUUAUCAUUAUACAGUGAAUACAUUACAAUGGAUUAGCAUCCUUAAAGUGGAGGCCUGUGUUAGCUGGUGAGAAUUAUUGCAGUGUAUAAACUAAAGGAACACACUGCAGAAAGUGUGGUUUCACUAAAACUGUUCAAAAAUAGUGUGCCUUUAUAAGGAUUCAAACCCCAUAGCCUUGAGUUCCUGAACGUUUCACAUUAAACUGUACGCUAUUGAAAUAAUGAAAGACCUCACAGUGAUUUCUUCCAUAAAUAUUUUUUUUUAUGCACCUAGAUGCCAAAAGCACUUUUUCACAAAAUCAUUUACUGGGAGUUUAACAUACUCAGGGCAACUCAUCUUGACUGUGUACCCUACAGUGCCCAGUUCUACUUUCAAAGCCUAAGAAAAAAAUCUGAGCUUGGUUUUCUAUGUGUUCAGUAAACCCCAGUGUUUAAAGCAACGUAAAACUGUAGAAACUACAGGAACCAUGGCUAAACCAGUCUGCUAUUUUAGCAAGGCUGGUGGUCAGGUAUCUGAAAAUGGGGAGAUAAGUAGCUUACCAUCCUACUGUUAGCACAUCUAACCGAUAAAAUAAACGUACAUUUUAGAUCAAAUCCCAAACCAGCAAGGUGACAAAUCUGUAAUUCUGUCCUGAGCAAGGCAGGGAAGCCUAAAUGUAUUCUCUGAAUGCAAUUUGAUUCUUUAACAAACAUGUCAGGCUGAAAAAUAAUUUCAUUUUAAAGUCCAGAAAAAUAUCACCUGUAAUCAACAAAUGGUCCCACUUAAGGCAGAAUGGGGCCAGACAUAUCUUAAAACAUCAUGCUGAGGUAGAUGAAUAAAGGCCCAAACUGUUGAAUGGUUCACCCUGGGUUUGGUUUUAUACAGGAAACCACUUAAAGUAACUCAAACAUUAACAUGUUGGCCCAGCGUAUCCGAUGUCUUGCCAUGAGAUGAAAACAAAAUCAGUCCUGGCUUCUGUUUGCUCAUCUAUAAACCCAAACCCAGCACCCAGCUAUCAGGCCAAAAGUCAUCUGCAGCCCAAGAGACCUAGAAAAGAACAUUAGCAUAUUCUAUGGAAAUGUCCACACUGUUGCUAGGCAACAGGCUGGUAACAGCCCACUCCUUUCUUGUAGAGGGAGUGACAAAAAGCAGUGGCUUUUAUCUUUAUCCUGCUAGGGAUAGAACUCUCUGUGUGUGUGUGUGUGUGUGUGUACUACAUGUAUUUGCUAUAAGUGUGUUCCUCUGUCCACAUGUAGGACUUUGAGGGUACAUUGUCUGUGCAGUGUGUGUGUGUAUGCUGUGGGUAUACAGCACAAACCCACAGCAUACAGACAAUACAACCUGCCCUGUAACACAAUGAGCCACCAAACUCUCCCACGACUGCAACCACCAUGAAGUCUGGAGUUCAUUUAUGGACCCACAAAGACACGCCACAAAAGAGUAGGCUACAAAAAAAAAAGAAAACACAACAAAUGACAAUUGAACGUUUAACCUAGACGCUUGACUUUUAUCUGAAAGCCGCCAUUGUUUUGUAACACUAAACAGAAACUGACUGUAAUGAAUAGUUAGUUUGAACCAAGGCCAAGGGAGUCUUCAGCACGAAGGUACGGUUAAUUAAUGCACAAAACAAACGACUCUGUCAAGAUGGAACAAACCCUAAACUCCUGCCUAAUCUCAGCCUAUUUUGUGCUCUUAUAAUUCACACAAGCGUCAAAUAGAUUAAAGUGAGCAUUCCCAGAGAAGUACGGCAGCAGGUACUGGCAACAGGUACUGGUACAGACUCAAAGAGCAGCCACCUCAGUGCCAGAGGCUGGGCUACAUGUGGAUGUCGUCCAGUCCCAGAAAGGGUUCGGCUGAAACACGAGGCGCAACGCUCUAUCAGCAGCCGGGCCAUUUACCUCCACCGACACAGACCAGGAGUAACCUGAACACUAGCGGGGCCCCGUCAUUCCUUCACCAUAUGCUGGCCAUCAUGUUACCCUGAAAUAUUCAGGAGGGCUCGGUCCGCUACCUCCGCCCCUGAGACGGGUCUG